rnacentral:lncRNA from 1 species
CACUCCAACUACACAACACACUUACACCAACACAACCACUCCAACUUUCCCCUCAAUCUCCCAAAAAUCCUCUCGGAUCCCUCUCUCCUUUUACACUCACAAACACACAUCACACACAAAAAAAAUCUCUCUCUCGGCCACUUCUCUCCCUCUUUCUCAAAAUUUUCUCACAACAGAACACACCCACACAUUUCUCCUUCUCUUGGCUCCCCUCUCCCUCGCCCCCUCUCAAUUUCUCAAACACACACACAAGCCAACAAGAAGAUAGGAUAAGAAAGUGGAGAAAAGGACGCAAACAAAGGGAACAAAUGGACAGUUAAUGCUUGGAGAUUUCAUCAAAAACUUCAACCAAGAAACUGCCACAUUCAUUGGG